AUUGAACGCUGGCGGCAGGCCUAACACAUGCAAGUCGAGCGGAUGAAGGGAGCUUGCUCCUGGAUUCAGCGGCGGACGGGUGAGUAAUGCCUAGGAAUCUGCCUGGUAGUGGGGGAUAACGUCCGGAAACGGGCGCUAAUACCGCAUACGUCCUGAGGGAGAAAGUGGGGGAUCUUCGGACCUCACGCCAUCAGAUGAGCCUAGGUCGGAUUAGCUAGUUGGUGGGGUAAAGGCCUACCAAGGCGACGAUCCGUAACUGGUCUGAGAGGCUGAUCAGUCACACUGGAACUGAGACACGGUCCAGACUCCUACGGGAGGCAGCAGUGGGGAAUAUUGGACAAUGGGCGAAAGCCUGAUCCAGCCAUGCCGCGUGUGUGAAGAAGGUCUUCGGAUUGUAAAGCACUUUAAGUUGGGAGGAAGGGCAGUAAGUUAAUACCUUGCUGUUUUGACGUUACCAACAGAAUAAGCACCGGCUAACUUCGUG
rnacentral:rRNA from 1 species